UUUAUACUACCACUGUCCAAAAAUACUUGUUGAAUAAAUGGAUGUAUGUAGACGUAUUUUAGUUCAAGAUACAUUCAUUUUUACCCAUUUUUGUAACAAGUAAUUUCGAACGGAGGGGGUACAAG
rnacentral:pre_miRNA from 1 species